GAUGAACGCUGGCGGCGUGCCUAAUACAUGCAAGUCGAGCGAACGGACGAGAAGCUUGCUUCUCUGAUGUUAGCGGCGGACGGGUGAGUAACACGUGGAUAACCUACCUAUAAGACUGGGAUAACUUCGGGAAACCGGAGCUAAUACCGGAUAAUAUUUUGAACCGCAUGGUUUAAAAGUGAAAGACGGUCUUGCUGUCACUUAUAGAUGGAUCCGCGCUGCAUUAGCUAGUUGGUAAGGUAACGGCUUACCAAGGCAACGAUGCAUAGCCGACCUGAGAGGGUGAUCGGCCACACUGGAACUGAGACACGGUCCAGACUCCUACGGGAGGCAGCAGUAGGGAAUCUUCCGCAAUGGGCGAAAGCCUGACGGAGCAACGCCGCGUGAGUGAUGAAGGUCUUCGGAUCGUAAAACUCUGUUAUUAGGGAAGAACAUAUGUGUAAGUAACUGUGCACAUCUUGACGGUACCUAAUCAGAAAGCCACGGCUAACUACGUG
rnacentral:rRNA from 1 species